UCCUAUCAGCUGACCCGUUCGGUUCGUA
rnacentral:sRNA from 1 species